rnacentral:sRNA from 17 species
CACUAAGGAACGCAGGCUAAGUACGCCACGUCCUGUGGCAGCGCCUGCAUGGCCCACUUCCUGUGGG